rnacentral:rRNA from 1 species
UACGUAGGGGGCUAGCGUUGUCCGGAAUCAUUGGGCGUAAAGAGCGUGUAGGCGGCCCGGUAAGUCCGCUGUGAAAGUCAAAGGCUCAACCUUUGAAUGUCAGCGGAUACUGCCGGGCUAGAGUCCGGAAGAGGCGAGUGGAACUCCUGGUGUAGCGGUGGAAUGCGCAGAGAUCAUGAGGAAGACCAGUGGCGAAGGCGGGUCUCUGGACAGUUCCUGACACUGAGACACGAAGGCCAGGGGAGCAAACGGG